AAGUGAAAGCGGAGCUUCAGUUGAUAGGGAAUUUAAUGACAGGUUUCUCUCAUAAAACUUAACAACAGGGAUGCUUUCCAGACAGGUUUACAGGUAUUUACAUUGCAGGAUUUUGGUGUAAAACUCUUUAAAGGACAUUUUCAGCUAUAAAGCCUAAGAGGUCUGGAUAUCACAGUCAGUUGAAGAACAUCACCGGAGGCAGUUAGACCAGGAGGUUAUAGAAUGCUUUGGUACACAGCACUCUGUGUGCUUGGAUUAAUCCUUCCCUGCGUACAUGGAGACAUCUCUGGUAAGAUCCAAAUUCAGACCGUGGUCAGUAACUUGAAGAUCUCUGCCCUGGCUUCCUCCAACUCAACGGAUGCCUCUAUCCAAGCUGCUCUCCAAAAUGCAGCUAUCCAGCUUGAGUUCUAUCUGAAGACAAACUACGAAGACAUCCAAUCCUUCAGAAUCACCAAUAUAAAAAAAGCAUGACCUG